UUUUUCUUUUCUAUUUUGUUAGAAAAAUAUUAUCUUGUAAUUUGUUUUUUGGAGAUUUUUUUUAUGGUGAUAAUUCUUUUUUUUAAUGAUAUUUCAUGGUGAUAGUUCUAAUCUUAUGGUUUUGGCUUCUAAUUUUGAAAUUUUUUCCUUUCCAUGUUGUCAUUUUUGUAUGAAUAAUCUUGUAUGUUGAUUAAUAUGUUUUUUUUUUUCUUUUCUUUUUUUAAGGAAAAGGCACAUCUUUAUAAUGUGUUUUAUUCAACCCAUGUUUGUUGGCAUAGUGAUAUUUGUCUUCCUUUAGUUUAUCUUAAUUUUUUUUUCAGUGUGUGUACUAUUUUUUUUUUCUGGUUUUUUGGGUUAAGUAUUACGAGUCCAGAAACAUUUUUUUGUAUCAUUUUUUUUAGAUAAUAAUUUUUUUUUCAGUUGGCCGAUUUAUUCAGUGUAGCAUUUAAGUUUUGUGAAUAUUUUAGUUAUCGGAUUUAGUUAGUCAUUUUGACGAAAAUAUAUUGUUGACAAUUUGACAUAAUUGUUCAUUAUUUUUUUUUGAAUGGUAAAUCGGCAAUUUCAUUAAGCCAUAUCAAGCAAAAUUACAUCAAUCAAAUUAUUCGGCGCCGAAGCUAACGAAUAACUACAACCAGCAUUCAAACAUGAGGCUCGAGCCAAAUUGUCACAGAAAAUGAGGAACUGUUGUAUCGCCUCGUGCCAAGUAUUGGGGUAUAUCGUUUGAUGCAAAAGGAUCUUGCUGAGAAAUGGAAAGAAUGUUUGAAUAGUGCUUCAACCAACAAGUCUAAGAAGAGACAGCAAGUGCCACUAUCGAAUUCGGACAAGUCUUCCAGUGAUGAGAAAACGGAAGAUGAUUUUGAAGAGGAAGAUGAUGGGGUAGAGGUAGAUUCUUGAUGAGAUCAUGAACAUAAAGGGGAAAUUGUGACUAGAUGCUCAUUUGGUAGGGUGAGUUGAAUUGUGUGCAUCAUGUCUGAGGAACAUAAAUCAAUGGUCAGAGCGGCAGGAUUUAGAUCAUUUUUGAGCGAAGAUUUCCCUAACAUCUACAAUCCUUCAGCGUAGUGGUUAGUGGAUAGUGUAGAUGUCACUAAGAGAUGCCUAAAUAUAUAUGGGAAAUAGUUGCCGAUAUCUGGGAAGAUAUUUCAGUCGGUGAUGGAUAUACCUAACGGAGGUGAUGUGAUCAAAGCUAAUGAGAAGGUUCCGCAGUCAGAGUUUAAGUCUAGGUUGCUUAGUAAGAAGCAACGAGUUGAAAUGUUGGAUUUAGAACGUUAUCGAGUGAACCACAAGGAAGCAGACAAUUAUUUUUUAUUUGGUAUGAUCCUGCUCAUUGUAGGAAGUGUAUUGGUGUCAGGAUCUGGGAAUCAACUGCGUACAGGAUAUGUUAAUGUUGUGUAUGAUGUGAGUAGAGUUACUUCCCACAACUGAGCCACCUACAGAUUUGGGGAGCUUAUGAAGUCUAUUGGAAAGUACCAAGCUAGCCAGUUGGUCCACCUAAUUGGAUGCACGACUUUCUUCCAUGUUAGGAAUCAACUUUUCUAUAUGCAUCACCUCGAAGCUCCCAGAAUGUAUGUGGACUGAUCCGUUUCACCAAUCCAAUUCUGGACAGAUGAAGAGGCAAAAAUGCUGAAGACUUAUCUUAUGAACAACUGUGGCUAUAGUGGUUGAAAAGAGGCUAGAAUUGUUGAUGGGCUUUUUCCUAGGCCAAGUGGAAAAGCGAGUGGGAGUUUCUCGAGCACAAGGUUGCUGGAUAAGGUUACCAAAUUUGGUUAUCAAAUGGAAGUACUGAUUGCAUUGAUUGUUGCUCUACCUGAUACUAUUAAGGGUAUUGUAUCAAGGGAGUUAUGCAUGAUGAGGGACAAUUCUCAACUAAAAGAAAAUGUAGAUUGUAAAGGCAACGCAAACGGUGGAAAUGAAGGAGUAAUGCCCAAGACAAGGAAUUUUCUGCUUACAACCUUGAAAAGGUGCCUGAAGUGUUUGAUUUGACUGCUGUGAGAAAUAAUUCUCUUAUUCCAACCAAUACCACGCUUUCUAAAUCGACUGAGGCGAAUCUGUGGGGUGCUGAAGGUUACUAGAAAUUUUGCUUAUCUAUGGGGUUGUGGUAGGGCCUUUCAGGAUGGGUGCAUCCGUGUCCCUUGAGAUGUACAAAUUGGCCAACUAUAUGUAUAACCUUGUUCUUAGUGAUUUGUAAGUUCACUUGUUAAUUUUUUUAUAUAUUUGUUUAUCUUAGUUAUUUUAGCAUGUGUAUAAGUGUAAUUUAUUUAUGAGUAUAGGCAUGUGUUGUGUGGCUACACCAACUUUGUACUGCACAAUUGUUUUUUAUUUAAAUAAUUUGUGUACCUUAUUUAAUUAUUAAAUCAUUAAGUAUUAGAAA